GUUUUCAAAAUGUCGUAACGAUUUAAUUUUUUAAAUCGUUUUUUUUUUGUCUUGGUGUGAGUUAUUUUACGUUGUAGUAUUAAUUUAGAGCAUCUUUUAGCUUUAUGAGAAUAUUAGACGAUUAGACAUUGAGAAACUCUGUUUUGAAUUCUCUUUAGACAUAACUUGGCUCCAAUACUUUUUUCUUCGUUAGCGUUUCGUAAGCCUGUGUAACUAUUUUCAUUUCUUACAGAAAGUUUAUUAUUAAAAAUCAGCAUGCCUCGAAGAUCGAAAAUGAAAUGCUAUUUCGGAUGCCUUGAUAACGACAAAGGUUUGAUAAUGACAAAAUUUUAUGGAAAAAUUAUAAGGAGCACUAAAAUGUCUGAAACAUGAAAAGAUUGAUGCACUAUAUUUGAACCAGAACGUGUUAUGUAAUAUAUUAAUUUAAGAGAAACUGAUUCAGCAAGGAACGUGAACUCUCAAGGAUCUUAAUUUUUUUUAAAUAUGUUUAUAAUUUAUAAAUUAAUAAUUGAAAUAGUUCAUAAGAACUAAAUUGAUGCCAAUUUUGUUUUAAAAUAGGUUGCUUAGUUCUUAUAGUUAUAGUAUUACGUUUGAAUAGUUGUAAUUAGUAAGUUAGUAAUAUAUGAAAAUACUGAUAUAAAUUUUUGUAAAUAACCUUUUGUAAAUUCUACGAGAAGACGAUUUUAAUUAAUGAUCAAAAGUCAACAGUCUUCAAAAGCAUUAUUUGCAAUUAUUUAGAUUAACUGUGGAAUAUAUUUGCUAAGUUGUGUUUUCUGUAUGAGCAGAUAUAAAUGAAAAUGCCCAAACAUGAUUAUGUUUCUUACAUUUUCAUUAUGUGAAAUCAAUAUGCUUGUGACUGAGUAUAUUAAUAAUUUAUUAAAACUUCAGUGAUAGACAGCAACCCUUAUGGCACUGCUGAAGUUUAUAAGCACUGGUGACCACUUAUCAUGAGCCGGGUUGCGUGCUCGUCUGCUGUUGAGUGCAAUAAAAUUUUUCGAAACCCUUUCUAUUAUUUAGAUGUAAUAUUAAUGUACAUUUUAUUUGGAUUAAAAGAUAAAUUUACAUUUUAUGUUUGCAUGUGUAUGUUUAUAAUUCAUUUGCAUGUAACGAACAUCAGUUUCUUUUGUAACAAAAUGCCAAACUAAUGGUUUGUAAUGAAUGUAAUUAACUUUAAGAUGAUUUUCUUUCAAUCUGCUGUUUGUUUCAUCUAGUAUUACCAAAGCUAAAGCAUCAGAAACGUCAGAAUAGAAAUAAUUUAGAUAGGGAAUAAAAGUAUAACUAAUGUAAUCAUAUCUAAAAUUACUAUAAGCGUCAUUAAGUACAAACUAUCAAUAUUUAAGAGUACUUUAAAUCAUCAUUACAUUUUUUAAACAUUUUUUGUUUUUUUUUGUUGUGCAGAACAAAAUGUCACAUGUUAUGAACAUGAUUGUGGGUUAAUCGUUUCUUAAAUUUCUAAAUAUUUAUAAGAAUGCUAAGAUUAAUUUAGUAUUCACUUUAGUGUGUGUAUUAUCUCUACAAUGCUAGUUUAAAUGACAAUUAUUGUAUGACGAAGCAUAGGUAGUGUUUAUAGAUGUAAUAUUUUCAUACAAGGUCAUGAUCUGUCACGAUCAACUUUAAGCAAGAACUGCUAUCGUUAAGAAACAAAUUUAUUAAAUUUAAUUCACAUUGUCUACUAUGUUUGUAAUGGAAAGCUGACAUGUUUAUAUUUCGCACAAAUGACUUAAUUGACAUUGAAUGAUUUGAUUAUCUAGACUUAUUUAACUUUUAGAUAACUUUCGAUUUAAUGUUAAUAAGUACGCUAGUAGGAUUAAUCUAGAGGAGUUAUUGUUAUUCGAAAUUUUAUACAAUUGUACGUUCAUACAAUCUUUUAACAGAAAAUUGUUUGUAAUAUAGGGAAAUUAAAUAGCUUACAGAGAA